GAUGAACGCUGGCGGCGUGCCUAAUACAUGCAAGUCGAGCGAACAGACGAGGAGCUUGCUCCUCUGACGUUAGCGGCGGACGGGUGAGUAACACGUGGAUAACCUACCUAUAAGACUGGGAUAACUUCGGGAAACCGGAGCUAAUACCGGAUAAUAUAUUGAACCGCAUGGUUCAAUAGUGAAAGACGGUUUUGCUGUCACUUAUAGAUGGAUCCGCGCCGCAUUAGCUAGUUGGUAAGGUAACGGCUUACCAAGGCAACGAUGCGUAGCCGACCUGAGAGGGGGAUCGCCCACACUGGAACGGAGACACGGUCCAGACUCCUACGGGAGGCAGCAGUAGGGAAUCUUCCGCAAUGGGCGAAAGCUUGACGGAGCAACGCCGCGUGAGUGAUGAAGGUCUUCGGAUCGUAAAACUCUGUUAUUAGGGAAGAACAAAUGUGUAAGUAACUAUGCACGUCUUGACGGUACCUAAUCAGAAAGCCACGGCUAACUACGUG
rnacentral:rRNA from 1 species